rnacentral:lncRNA from 1 species
GGAGGGAAAGUGGGCGGGGCCUGGGUGGGCGGUGGUGGCGCUCGAGGGCGGCUGCAGGACCGCGGCCGGACGGUAGAGGCCUCCCUUCCGAGGCGGCGGCUCGGACGUCGAGCGCCGGGGCUCUGCUCGCCGGCUCGUCCUUCCCGGCGCGGUCCGGCACGGCCGGGCCCAGCGCGGCCCAUACCCGCCUGCUCUCCUCCCCCUGCAGGCGGCAGCGCCCGUUUUCUGAGGUCCUUUCAAGCACGGAUCGCAGUGCCCAGUGGUCAAUACCCUUACUUUUAUCCAGUGUCUGCUUCAUUUAAACUUAAUCAACUCCAUCAAUGAACUGGAACAGGGAAACGUCCCUGCGGUCCAAUUUCCUGUCCCUUACUUUACCUGGUCUUUUGCUGCCCCACUGCAACACCCUCGGUAAGUUGAUGGAUGGUAUGUUCUAAAGCAGGGAAAUGACACCCCAUUGACUUUCUCUUCAGGACCUUCAAUGAAAGAGAGGUUUUCCACAUACUUUAAAAUAAAAGUCAACUUCCUUUGCUGGAAACUUCUCUUCUCCCACAGAAAAGGGACAUUCUGAGGUUGGGCAGAGUUCCCAGCUUUAGGUGAAAUUCCAGAGCCUAGGGAGAGAGGUUUUGGGACCUGCUGGAGAACUCCCAGGAAAUGAAUGCUCUUAGUGAUAGAAUUCCACCUGUGUAGGUUACAGUCCCAGCAGCAAUCAGGCAAGAUAACUACAUCCCCCUCUUCCA